rnacentral:lncRNA from 1 species
GUGUCAGCAGAGACCACACACCCCGAAUUCCUGGACUGGGUCUGGUGUUUUCCUUCCCCCAGUAUUUCAGACGCAUUCUUCUCAUUUGAAAGCCGUGUGUCUUACUCAACCACCUCUCUAUCUAAACUAUGUUAAAGACACAUAGAAAAGAGAUGACAUCACGGGGCCGCUUCUGUUCUUGCAGCCCCGUCUGUGUUCAGCUAAAGUGGAGCGGCCCUAGUGAGUCAUGCCGUCUUGUGACCAGCCGGGCACUUUUCCAAUCCAAGCGACUGUUAAGAUCUCUGACAGCAGAACCUGUCCUUGUUUGAAGAGCAGAUACCAACGGUGAGCUGUGCGCUUGGUGAUCCAGGCUCCUGUGAGUCACCGCAUGCGUUCCCAUCCCACAACAAAACGCCAGCCGUGAGGUAGCACUUAGUAAAGCUGACUCACUUCCUCAUUUGCAGAUGAAAGGGAUUGUCCCAGAAAUGACAGUCUCACAGGCACGUUUUGCUGGUGAGGCUGUGGCUCUUGCCCUGGACACCUGAGUGGAACGUCAUGGGCGAGGGGUGGAUACCCCUCCGUAUGGACGGAUGGCCCGGUUCCGUGGGGCGGUGGGACUUCCAGCCAAGUCACGUCGGCUUGAACUGACUGGUGGGGGUCGGGGGAGAGGCUGCCAUCAUGGGAAACCUGGCAACUGCCUCUCCCCAACCCGACGGUCUGUAAUCUCCUGGGCUUUGCAAUCAGGCCGCCUUUACAAACGCAUUUCUCAAAGCCAGAGCCAGCUUGUUUGCCCGGAGGAAAGAAUUCACUGAACAGCCACAGACUGCAUUCCAGAACGUUAGCCAACCACUUUGCAAAAGUGUCCCGUUGGGUCAGGGCACGGCCUGCCGCCACUCCUGGCAAAGAGACUCCAAAUGCCUGCCCGUGGGACAGAGGUCUCAUUGCAGGAUGUCAGUUCAGGCACUCAUGGGAAGACGUCACUGGAGCACAAGGCGAUGACGGUGUUGCUAAGAUGUCUGAGAGAAAAUGGCAAAGCAGAGCCCAGAGAGGUUGGUGCAGGCUCCCCGGGUCCCUCGGAAGUGGGGCUGGGCCUCAGAGGAUGUACGUGAGCUGCCGGCCGAGGUGUGUGUCCCCCCUGGCUUAUCCGCCGAAGGGGCUGAACGGAGGGGGAGCGAGGGCCUCCUCCUGGUGCCUGGAAGCCCAGCGCGGCCAGACUUGGGGAUGGAGCCUCCAAGGAGGUGGCGGAGGUUGAAUGAGGUCAUGGGAGGGAUCCCGCAUCUGAUAGGGUUGAGGCCUCACAAGGAGAGAACCCCAUUCUCUCUCUGCUGUCUCCAUCUCUCUUCCUCAUGAGGACACAGUGAGAAGCCAGCCGUCCACAGACCAGGAAAGACCUCUCACCGGAACUUGCCCGUGCCAGCUCCCUGAUCUUGAUGCCCAGCCUCCAGAACUAUGAGAAAUAAAAUCCUGCUGUUUGGGAGUUCCCGUUGUGGCUCAGGGGUCAUGAACCCAACUAGUAUCCAUGAGGAAGCAGGUUCCAUCCCUGGCCUUGCUUGGUGGGUUAAGGAUCCAGUGUGGCCGUGAGCUGCAGUGCAAGGUGCGAACGCGGCUUGGAGCUCGUGUUACUGUGGCUGCGGUGUGGGCUGGCAGCUGCAGCUCUGAUUCAACCCCUAACCUGGGAACUUCCACAUGCCGGGGGUGGCACCCUAAAAAGCAAAAUCAAAUCAAAUCAAAUCAAAUCAAAAUAAAGUCCUGCUGUUCAA